rnacentral:rRNA from 1 species
UUGAACGCUGGCGGCAGGCCUAACACAUGCAAGUCGAGCGGUAACAGAUCCAGCUUGCUGGAUGCUGACGAGCGGCGGACGGGUGAGUAAUGCAUAGGAAUCUGCCCGAUAGUGGGGGAUAACCUGGGGAAACCCAGGCUAAUACCGCAUACGUCCUACGGGAGAAAGGGGGCUCCGGCUCCCGUUAUGGGAUGAGCCUAUGUCGGAUUAGCUAGUUGGUGAGGUAACGGCUCACCAAGGCCACGAUCCGUAGCUGGUCUGAGAGGAUGAUCAGCCACAUCGGGACUGAGACACGGCCCGAACUCCUACGGGAGGCAGCAGUGGGGAAUAUUGGACAAUGGGGGAAACCCUGAUCCAGCCAUGCCGCGUGUGUGAAGAAGGCCCUCGGGUUGUAAAGCACUUUCAGUGAGGAAGAACGCCUGGUGGUUAAUACCCAUCAGGAAAGACAUCACUCACAGAAGAAGCACCGGCUAACUCCGU